rnacentral:rRNA from 1 species
UAGACCCGAAACCGAGUGAUCUAGCCAUGACCAGGUUGAAGUUGGGGUAAAACCCGAUGGAGGACCGAACCGACCCCCGUUGAAACGUUGGCGGAUGAGUUGUGGCUAGGGGUGAAAUUCCAAUCGAACUCGGAGAUAGCUGGUUCUCCCCGAAAUAGCUUUAGGGCUAGCGUCGAGGUAAAGUCGUGUGAAGGUAGAGCACUGAAUAUGUGAUGGCCCCAUCUCGGGGUACUGAACAUAAUCAAACUCCGAAUGUCACAAAGAUAUACUCGGCAGUCAGACAGUGGGUGAUAAGGUCCAUUGUCAAAAGGGAAACAGCCCAGACCAUCAGCUAAGGUCCCAAAAUAUAUACUAAGUGGAAAAGGAUGUGGAGAUGUCCAGACAACUAGGAGGUUGGCUCAGAAGCAGCCAUCCUUUAAAGAGUGCGUAACAGCUCACUAGUCGAAUGACUCUGCGCCGAUAAUUUACCGGGGCUAAGUAUAUUACCGAAGCUAUGGAUUUACGCGUAAGCGUGAGUGGUAGGGGAGCGUUCUAUGUGCGGAGAAGCGGUACCGUAAGGAGCCGUGGAGCGCAUAGAAGAGAGAAUGCCGGUGUGAGUAGCGAAACGUGGGUGAGAAUCCCACGCACCGAAAACCCAAGGUUUCCAGAGGAAGGUUCGUCCGCUCUGGGUAAGUCGGGACCUAAGGCGAGGCCGAGAGGCGUAGUCGAUGGACAACAGGUAGAGAUUCCUGUACUUACGGUAUGAAUGAUGGAGUGACGGAGAAGGCUAGCGGAUCCUGCUGAUGGAAAUGCAGGUGCAAGCGAGGUAGCCGACAGCCAGGCAAAUCCGGCUGUCGAAAGGCAAAGGCGUGAGGCGUAUGGAAAGCUGCGGCAAGUACAGAAGUCCGUGAAGCCAGCUUCCAAGAAAAGCUUCUAGUGAUAAUCAUACAGUAACCCGUACCGAAAAUGGACACACAUGGGUGAGGAGAGAAUCCUAAGGUGAGCGAGAGAACUAUAGCUAAGGAACUCUGCAAAAUGACUCCGUAACUUAGGGAUAAGGAGUGCUCAUAGAGAUAUGAGCCGCAGUGAAACGGCCCAAGCGACUGUUUACCAAAAACACAGCUCUAUGCUAAGUCGAAAGACGACGUAUAUGGGGUGACGCCUGCCCGGUGCUGGAAGGUUAAGAGGAUGUGUCAGCGCAAGCGAAGCAUUGAAUUGAAGCCCCAGUAAACGGCGGCCGUAACUAUAACGGUCCUAAGGUAGCGAAAUUCCUUGUCAGGUAAGUUCUGACCCGC